rnacentral:lncRNA from 1 species
GCAACUCGAGGCUCGAAGCCACCACCGCGUGCCUCCAGCCCCUGUCGCAGCAGCAGCCCGCGAGCUUUCCCUGCUGCACCUCCACCCUUCGAUCGAUCGUGCCUCCGCUGCAGCCCGUCCUUGCAACUCCACAGCCGCGAGCGUCGCUUCGCCCGCGCCUCAGCCGCCUUGCAGCAGAUCCCGAGUCUCUUCUGCCGCGCCUGCCUCACCGCCUGCUCAACCCAGCACUCGAUGCGCCGACGCGGCUCGGAGUCGAAGACCAGCGAACGACGUCCUUGCUAGCCUCACCUGCAACCCGGGAGACUGGCGAAGCCGUGGCUGCCCCUACUCUGUUCCGGGCUCCCCUGUUGCCCGAUCUCUUCGCCGCUGGUCUCUGCGCCUCUUCGGAGCUCCGAACCUGUGAGCCCCUUUCGCCGGCCACCUCGCCAUAGAAGCUAGUCCCGUUUGCCGUCGCUGCUCCCGCUUGCACUCGCGCGCCUCCGUUUCUGCUCCGACGACCCGGCGUUACUCCUGCCCUGUUCGUUGCUGCCGAGUCCCGAGCGACCCACCAUCGCCAGCUGCUGCCCCUUUCCGAGUAUCUCCGCCUUGCUCGCUGCUGGUCCGUCCGCCGCCGGUCCUCACGGAGCUCCGGUGACCCACCAAGCCGUCGUUCGUUAACCCUAGUUUAGGAGCUAAAAUCCCAAUUAGGUAGAUUUCUUAUUUUUAUUUUAUUCUUUCGUUAUUAUUAUCAUCAUUUAUUUUGUUUCCUUAUUUGAGAUAUUUCCCUAUGCAUAAUUGAAAAUCCUAAUAUAUCGCAUGAUUCGCAAUCGCGUCAUGAUUUUUUAUUUCAUUUAUAAGGCUUUAGAUGAAAUAAUUAAUCAAAUGGGAAUAAAAUUGAUAUUUUGAUCUUUAAGGCUUAAGAUCAAUUUAUCGAUUUUACUAGCGAAAUAUUAUCCUUUGAGCCGAACGAUAUGUAAUUUUUUUUGAUGAUUUUGAAUGGCUUGUCUUGUCUUGAUUGCUUCAUUUUGAAAUAUGUUUGAGUUAGAAUAUUGCAUGAUUUAGGCCUAUUUGCAUGUUUAGAUUAAGCAUUUUGUUUAUCAUGAAUUUUCGAAAUAAAAAAUGAAUCUAAAAAAAUGAAUCUAGGAUGUUAGAUUUUUGUUAGCUUAAAUUGCAUGUUUAAUUAUUUGACAUUUUAAAUUAAUUAAAAAAACAAAAACAAAAAUCAUCACGCACAUGUCAUGUUGAAUUAGGGCAUCAUUUGCACGUCAUUGCACAUUAGAAUAAAAUUGCAUAUUUCAUUUUAAGUUUAGAUAACUUUUUAGAUAGAUUGCUUUUUAGUUAGGGAUUUCUAAGUUAGGGUAACAUCCUAGUUUGAAUUAGGAUUUGACUUAACUUCAUUCCUGAUACAGAUUAGAGGAUAUCUUAAUCUAGCUAGAUGAUUUUCACAUCUUUUUAAUUCCGAAUUACAUAAAAAAAUACAAAAAAAAUGUCUUAGAAUAAAUUAGUUUUAUUAUUUAGGAUGAAAUGUAUUCUUUUAGGAAAAAGAAAAAAUGUCAUAUGCACGUCAUUAGGGUUAGAUUCACUGAGAUGCAUGUUAUUUAGUAUUUUUGCUAGGCCCUUACCUAUCAUUAGAAUUAGAUCAUUUAUUUAUAUUGCAUUGCAUAUUGCAUGAUUUUCAUUAAAUAAGUGAAAAAGAAAAAACAAACAAUUGUGUGUUAAUUAGAAAUCAUAUCUAGGGUUGUUGAUGUGAAUUCUGAUCUAACAUUGCAGAUGCUUUUGUUGCUUCGAUGUAAGUUCUGUAAUUUAUUCAUCGCUUUCUUGGGUGUUAAAUUGGUGGUUUGCGCAUCCGCAUGAUCACAUCACAUGUUAUGGAAAUAGAUUUAAAAUCAAUUCAAGCUGCUUGCCAAACAUUUUCCAAAAUAAAAGAUAAAGGUACCGAAAGGGCAUUAGAGAAAUCUAGCGUAAAGUAAAACUCAUGUUACUUUACUUGGGUUUCUAAUCGACCCACCAAAAAUAGAUUAGUGACGACUCAUAAUUUAAAAAAAAAUUGCAUGCUAAGAUCUGAACCUAAGUCGCGAGUUGGUAUGGGCUUGGGAGAGCCUGAGUUAAGUCUAGGCUUAACAAUCCAUUAGCCAAAUCCUGGGUGGUUCACAUCACCCAAAAAUUAGGUCGCGACACUUACAUUUUAGAGUAAUCUAUUUGAAAGAUCAAUCUCAUAUUAGCUUCAUAUUUGACAAACAAAUAAUAUUAAAAUCAUAUUUAGAGUAACAUUACAUGAUCAACAACAUAUUGAACAAUUAUGGCAAACAAAUAAUAUUAAAAUGACCCGGGCCUUUACUUAUUGUAUUUAUAUUUACGCACUUCGGCCGGCAGCAUUUCUUGUUUCUUGGUCAAUCUAGAUUCAUGUAUUUUAAAUCCCAUUGCUCGCAUGAUUUUUCUUGCCGUCAACUCCAAGAACCUUCAAAAUUGAGCGAGUGGCUCAUUCUAGAUUUCAUUUGCAGAACCCAAGCUCAAUCCCGUGCCUUGACUCGGUCGUCAAUUGUCUGAGAAGAAUCAAAGCGGGUGAGUCCAAAGUCGAUUAAUGUUCC